GCAGUCGUGGCCGAGUGGUUAAGGCGGUGGACUAGAAAUCCAUUGGGGUCUCCCCGCACAGGCUCGAAUACUGUUGACUGCG
rnacentral:tRNA from 1 species